AGCAGCCGCGGUAAUUCCAGCUCCAAUAGCGUAUAUUAAAGUUGUUGCAGUUAAAAAGCUCGUAGUUGAAUUUCGGGAUUGACGUGACGGUCAUGCCUUAAGGGGUAUGAACUGUUACAGUUGAUUUCUCACCUUCUGGAGAAACUUGAUGUCCUUUAUUGGGUGUCUUGCGGAUCCAGGACCUUUACCUUGAAAAAAUUAGAGUGUUUAAAGCAGGCAUUUUUGCUCGAAUACAUUAGCAUGGAAUAAUAGAAUAGGACGGCAUGGUUCUAUUUUGUUGGUUUCUAGGAUCACCGUAAUGAUUAAUAGGGAUAGUUGGGGGCAUUAGUAUUCAAUUGUCAGAGGUGAAAUUCUUGGAUUUAUUGAAGACUAACUACUGCGAAAGCAUUUGCCAAGGAUGUUUUCAUUAAUCAAGAACGAAGUUAGGGGAUCGAAGACGAUCAGAUACCGUCGUAGUCUUAACAUAAACUAUGCCGACUAGGAAUCAGACGAUGUUAAUUUUUAAUGUACUCG
rnacentral:rRNA from 1 species